GCGAAAUGCGAUAAGUAAUGUGAAUUGCAGAAUUCAGUGAAUCAUCGAAUCUUUGAACGCACAUUGCGCCCGCCAGUAUUCUGGCGGGCAUGCCUGUCCGAGCGUCAUUUCAACCAUCAAGCCCCCGGGCUUGUGUUGGGGACCUGCGGCUGCCCGCAGGCCCUGAAAACCAGUGGCGGGCUCGCUGUCACACCGAGCGUAGUAGCAAUCACCUCGCUCAGGGCGUGCUGCGGGUUCCGGCCGUUAAACAGCCUUACAAAACCCAAGGUUGACCUCGGAUCAGGUAGGAAGACCCGCUGAACUUAAGC
rnacentral:misc_RNA from 1 species